rnacentral:rRNA from 1 species
GUGUCAGCAGCCGCGGUAAUACAGAGGUGGCAAGCGUUGUUCGGAAUUACUGGGCGUAAAGGGCGAGUAGGUGGCCAUCUAAGUCAGACGUGAAAUCCCCCGGCUUAACCUGGGAACUGCGUCUGAUACUGGACGGCUUGAGUAUGGGAGAGGAACGUAGAAUUCCAGGUGUAGCGGUGAAAUGCGUAGAUAUCUGGAGGAAUACCGGUGGCGAAGGCGGCGUUCUGGACCAUUACUGACACUGAAUCGCGAAAGCUAGGGGAGCAAACGGGAUUAGAAACCCUGGUAGUCC